rnacentral:rRNA from 1 species
CCUACGGGAGGCAGCAGUGGGGAAUAUUGCACAAUGGGGGAAACCCUGAUGCAGCGACGCCGCGUGAGUGAAGAAGUAUUUCGGUAUGUAAAGCUCUAUCAGCAGGAACGAGACAAGACGGUACCUGACUAAGAAGCCCCGGCUAACUACGUGCCAGCAGCCGCGGUAAUACGUAGGGGGCAAGCGUUAUCCGGAAUCACUGGGUGGAAAGGGAGCGUAGACGGCUGAGCAAGCCUGAAGGGAAAGGCGGGGGCCCAACCCCCGGACUGCUUUGGGAACUGUACGGCUGGAGUGCAGGAGAGGUAAGUGGAAUUCCUAGUGUAGCGGUGAAAUGCGUAGAUAUUAGGAGGAACACCAGUGGCGAAGGCGGCUUACUGGACUGUAACUGACGUUGAGGCUCGAAAGCGUGGGGAGCAAACAGGAUUAGAUACCCCAGUAGUC